GGUGGCUCAGUGGUAGAGUGCUUGCUUUGCAUACAUGAGGCCCUAGGUUCGAUUCCUCAGCACCA
rnacentral:tRNA from 1 species